rnacentral:lncRNA from 1 species
GUGGCUCCGUGUCCCCACCCAAAUCUCAUCUUGAAUUGUAAUCCCCACGUGUGGGGGGAGGGAUCUGAGUGGGAGGUAAAUGGAUCAUGGGGGCGGUUUCCCCCAUGCUGUUCUUGUGACAAUGAGGGAGUUCUCACAAGAUCUGAUGGUUUCAAAUUCGAGUUCAACCCUCCAAUUUUCUAGAUGGAGACCCUGAAUUUCAGAAAAAGGAAAUGAGUUCCUUGAAAACAUACAUAUAGUUUACAGAAAACGACCUGCCUGCCUAUUCAUGUCUGUCGUUAUCCAUCCAUUCAUCCACCCAAUCACCCAACUACCCAUCCAUCCAGCCAUCCAGCCAUCCAGCCAGCCACCCAUCUAUCCAUCCAGCCACCCGUCUAUCCAUCCAUCCAUCCAUCCAUCCAUCCAUCCAUCCAUCCAUCCAUCCAUCCAUUCAUCUAUCCAUCCAUCCACCCACCCACCCAUCCAUCCACCCAGGCAACUUGUACCGCAGGCUCAGAUGUCCUGGCCUUCUCACCUUGCAGCCAAGGUCAUUGCAUCUAAAGUUCUCAGCCUUCUUAGCAUCAUAGAAGAGAAAAAGCCUGGGUUUCUACAUAGAUUUAGGCUUCAGCUCCUUUUCUGUCACCUUCCAGCAAUGAACUUAAUUUCACUUUUUUCCAACUGGAAAAUGGGAUCAGCACUUUCUACCUUCAGAUUACUGUGGGGAGUUAUCGAGGUCAUGAACAUGAUCCUUGACCUAGUGCCUAGAAUGCAUGGGACCUUCAGGCCUGCUCCAUGUCUGAAUGAGUUUUCUGAGUGCCUCAUACUUGGGCAUGAGUGGGGAGACCGGGGCUGUUCUUAUCCAGAGGAGCUCAGGGCCACCAGGGAAGAUGUUUCUCUGCUCCCCUCGCAGAAAGCCUGGCCCUAGUCCUUUCUAGGUUGUGACCUAAUAUUGGUCUGGCCAGAAGUGGCAUCUUCCUUUAUCCCUCAUUGUCCUGAAGACCUUGAGUGAACUUGGCCAGGACCAUUACUGCAGGAGUAACAUACAUUCAGCCAGCUGGGCACGGUGUGCACCUUCUGUCCCCACCCUGUCUCACACACUUUCCCUAAGCGGUGCCUGCAGCUUCUGUGUACCACCUCCCAGAUCUCCC